AACUAUCAACUCUAUUGAUUUAGAGCUUGGAUGUGGAGGACAAUUGCUGGAUAUCAAUUCAGCUCCUCUUGAAUAUAUUAGCUCGAGCCUUCUUGUGAAUCAGCUUUGGUGUGAUAAUUGUCUACACCGCUCUGUGAAGCAUUAGUUCGGCUUCUAAUUGUCCCAGCUUGGACAACAUAUUAUGACCUU
rnacentral:rRNA from 1 species